UGCGGGGGGGGCAAGCGUUGUUCGGAAUUACUGGGCGUAAAGGGCUCGUAGGCGGCCAACUAAGUCAUACGUGAAAUCCCUCGGCUUAACCGGGGAACUGCGUCUGAUACUGGAUGGCUUGAGUUCGGGAGAGGGAUGCGGAAUUCCAGGUGUAGCGGUGAAAUGCGUAGAUAUCUGGAGGAACACCGGUGGCGAAGGCGGCAUCCUGGACCGAUACUGACGCUGAGGAGCGAAAGCCAGGGGAGCAAACGGG
rnacentral:rRNA from 1 species